rnacentral:lncRNA from 1 species
GGGGACAAGAAAAAAUGGACUUUUUUCUCCUGCCAUGGGGGGGCGCUCUUUUGGGGAGUAAAAAUUCCUUCACAAAUGUGUUGAUGGCUGGACAUUGCAUCAUCCUAGAAAACUUGGAGGCCAGUGAGGGCAAAAAUAAAAAGUUAUAAGACUUCUAAAUAUGUGGAUCUUAGGGUUAUCUUUGGCGCCCCCUAGAACCUAAACCGUGGGGUGCAGCGUCAUGAUUUGAAUAACUUUUAAUGGCCAUGGGGUGUAGAUUGGCCUGAGCAAAUGUGGUGCCGGUGUAACGAAAGCCUUCGGAGGAGUUAGCGAAAUUCCAAUGUGUGCAGAUCGGCAAAAAAUGCGAAAUAACCCUUUAACCGUACAUUUGACAGAUACGCCCGCACUGACUUUUUUGUAGAUCUUAUUGAGAUACAUGUGUGUGUCAAUUUUUGUGUCAUUUUGACAAAGCGUACAGGCGUGACAGUCAAUAGUGUGAAUUUUCACCUUAGGGGGCGCUAUGGAGCCAUUUUGCAUUUUCUUGUUUGGGCGACUUCGGAAUAUCAAAUUUUUCACCAGGCCCGGUCGUCCUGCCAAAUUUCAUGAGUUUUCGCCAGUGGGAAGUGGGCCAUUUUCCAGUUCAAAGGGGAGGAAAAAUAAUAACUAGGGCCCCGUUGGGGCACUGGCGGGCCCGAGCCGUGUCGCGCCCCCUCCCCCCCCCAACGCGCUGCCUCCCCAUCCCAUUCGCGUCCUCUGGCCAUCGCCCUCUCUGGUAACGCCCAUCACUGCAAAUACCCUUUUCCUUCAUCGGCGUUUGCUGUUCUUCCUGCCAGUGCGUGUUGCUUUCACUUACACUUGCCACAGCCAGCCUCGUGAGUGCCUAGCCUAUUGGAUAUCACUGUCAUCUACACAGGACAGUCAUUACCUUUCUAUUAAUACUUUGUUUUUUAAUUUCACAUUAAUUUCCAUAUUGUAUAAAGGACUGGAAAAGACUUGAGCCCCUGCCCCUGUAUAAUCAUGUGCACGUCCCUGUUCUGGCUCUAAGGUGAAUCUUCACUGCUCAUGUUCUUCUCAGAAGCAGUCACCUCACUCCCCUCAGGUUACUGUACACACGCAGCAACUGCAUGCUUCAGGUUUAGAUAGCGCUUCAUGGUUGUCUUUUGGAGAAAUGACCAGCCAAUUUGCGUUUGACAUUUGAUUUUUUUCAGGGGCAAAAGGAAGCCUCUGCAUUCUUGUCUAAUAUGUAAAUAGCAUGUUUUUGCAGGUACUAAAAAACAGACUCUGUGUGUGUGUGUGUGUGUGUGUGUGUGUGUGUGUGUGUGUGUGUGUGUGUGUGUGUGUGUGUGUCUGUGUCUGUGUGUGUGUAUCCUAAACACUAAACACUUCCACUACACAAUUAACCCUUUCACGUAUAACGGUCACUACAGUGGACAAAUCUUCACUGGAUAUUUUCUAUUAUAAAAAUAGGGGUUUGAUUUUACAAAAACAUGUUAGCAACAACAAUAGACCCUGGAAAAUGAGUCCAACACUGGCACCCUGUGGCCAUGUGAUGCAACUGCAGAAAACACACGUCAACAUUUAAGGUGGCUGCCUCUGCUGAAAAAAACAAAUGUAUGAUGUCACUAAAAAUCAUUGUCACUAAAAAGGAUUAUAUUAUUACACACAUGCACACUCUUUGAUGAUCUGUGAAGCAGCUCUGAAGAGACAGUAGGAGCAGCAGAACAAAGUGUAUUUGUAGAAAAGCCGUAAGAGCUGUUGAAACGCCGUUUUUUCAGGUUGAAAGGUUCACGUCUCCACCAAAGGUCAGAGGUCAAAUAACAUUUGAAUGUCAAACUGUGACGUCACAGUCGAGGUCCAAAGAUAGUGUGCACACCUGUCUUUGGUCAUUUCCCAUUAUAAUGAAUGGGAGGCGCAGUUUCUACCGAAACGCUGGCUGCAGACAAACUACAUGUCCUAUUUGAAAAAAGUCUGGACCAUGAGUGAGGGCACAAACACAGCUAGGAAAUAUCCAAAUGGCAAAUUGCUUCUCCUUUCGCUUUUGCCGAGAGAGCAGUGCGUUUGAGCCUUUGAACGAUGAACAGGAAAAACUUGACUUUAUUGUCCUGCCAUGGGGGGGGUGCUCUUUUAACGAGAAAAAACUCCUUCACAAAUGUGUUGAUGGCUGGACAUCGCAUCAUCCUAGAAAACAUGGAGGCCAGUGAGGACAAAAAUAAAAUGUUAUAACACUUUUAAGAAUGUGGAUAUUUGGGUCAUCUUUGGCGCCCCCUAGAACGUAAACCGUGGGGUGCAGCGUCAUGAUUUUUACAACUUUGAAUGGCCAUGGGGUGUAGAUUGGCCUGAGAAAAUUUGGUGUCAGUAGGACGAAAGCCUUAGGAGGAGUUAGCUACAUUCAAAUGUGUGCCAAUCGGCAAAAAAUGCGAAAUAGCCCUUUAACCGUACAUUUUACAGAUAUGUGUGCAUUGACUCUUUCGUAGAUCUUAUUGAGAUACACUUGAUUGUCAAAUUUUGUGUCAAUAUGACAAAGCGUAUAGGCGUGACACUCAACAAUGUGUAUUUUCACCUUAUGGGACAAGAAAAAAUUGACUUUUUUCUCCUGCCAUGGGGGGGGGCGCUCUUUUGGGGAGUAAAAAUUCCUUCACAAAUGUGUUGAUGGCUGGACAUUGCAUCAUCCUAGAAAACUUGGAGGCCAGUGAGGACAAAAAUAAAAAGUUAUAAGACUUUUAAGAAUGUGGAUUUUUGGGUUAUCUUUGGCGCCCCCUAGAACGUAAACCGUGGGGUGCAGCGUCAUGAUUUGUACAACUUUUAAUGGCCAUGGGGUGUAGAUUGGCCUGAGCAAAUUUGGUGCCAGUGGAACGAAAGCCUUCGGAGGAGUUAGCGAAAUUCCAAUGUGUGCGGAUCGGCAAAAAAUGCGAAAUAGCCCUUUAACCGUACAUUUGACAGAUACGCGCUCUCUGACUUUUUCGUAGAUCUAAUUGAGAUACACGUGUGUGUCAAAUUUUGUGUCAAUAUGACAAAGCGUUCAGGCGUGACACUCAACAAUGUGUAUUUUCACCUUAGGGGACAAGAAAAAAUGGACUUUUUUCUCCUGCCAUGGGGGGGCGCUCUUUUCGGGAGUAAAAAUUUCUUCACAAAUGUGUUGAUGGCUGGACAUUGCAUCAUCCUAGAAAACUUGGAGGCCAGUGAGGACAAAAAUAAAAAGUUAUAAGACUUUUAAGACUGUGGAUUUUUGGGUUAUCUUUGGCGCCCCCUAGAAUGUAAACCGUGGGGUGCAGCGUCAUGAUUUGUACAACUUUUAAUGGCCAUGGGGUGUAGAUUGUCCUGAGCAAAUUUGUUGCCGGUGGAACGAAAGCCUUCGGAGGAGUUAGCGAAAUUCCAAUGUGUGCGGAUCGGCAAAAAAUGCGAAAUAGCCCUUUAACGGUACAUUUGACAGAUACGCCCGCACUGACUUUUUUGUAGAUCUUAUUGAGAUACACAUGUGUGUCAAAUUUUGUGUCAUUUUGACAAAGCGUACAGGCGUCAGGUGAGUUUUCACCAUAGGGGGCGCUAUGGAGCCAUUUUUCAUUUUUUUGUUUGGGCGACUUCAGAAUAUCGAAUUUUUCACCAGGCCCGGUCGUCCUGCCAAAUUUCCUGAGUUUUCGCCAGUGGGAAGUGGGCCAUUUUCCAGUUUAAAGCGGAGGAAAAAUAACGAAAGAAGAAUCCAUCAGGAACAAGAGGGCUCUCGCAGCUGCUUAGCAGCUACGCUCGGGCCCUAAUAACAAACUAGGACCCCGUUGGGGCACUGGCGGGCCCGAGCCGUGUCGCGUCCCCCCCCCCAACGUGCUGCCUCCCCGUCCCAUUUGUGUCCUCUGGCCAUCGUCCUCUCUGGUAACGCCCAUCACUGCAAAGACCCUUUUCCUUCAUCGGCGUUUGCUGUUCUUCCUGCCAGUGCGUGUUGCUUUCACUUACACUUGCCACAGCCAGCCUCGUGAGUGCCUAGCCUAUUGGAUAUCACUGUCACCUACACAGGACAGUCAUUACCUUUCUAUUAAUACUUUGUGUUUUAAUUUCACAUUAAUUUCCAUAUUGUAUAAACGACUGGAAAAAACUUGAGCCCCUGCCCCUGUAUAAUCAUGUGCAUGUCUCUGUUCUAGCUCCAAGGUGAAUCUUCACUGCUCAUGUUCUCCUCAGAAGCAGUCACCUCACUCCCCUCAGGUUACUGUACACAUGCACCAACUGCCUGCUUCAGGUUUGGAUGGAGCUUCAUGGUUGUCUUUUGGAGAAAUGAGCAGUCAAGUUGUGUUUGAAAUUUGAUUUUUUUCAGGGGCAAAAGGAGCCUCUGCAUUCUUGUCAAAUAUGUAAAUAGCAUGUUUUUGCAGGUGCUAAAAACCAGACUCUGAGUGUGUGUGUGUGUGUGUGUGUGUGCGUGUGUGUGUGUCUGUGUGUGUGUGUGUGCGUUCAAGUCACAUGACAUAUUUAACCGGAUGUAGCUGCAAGACGGAGCCUCGUUGACUCUCUGUUUCAACUUAUCUCAAAAGUGAGGACCUCAACCUAUAUACCAGUUUUUAAAUUGUGUUGAUAGGCCAAAUAAAACCAGAGUUAUGAUAAAUUAUGUCCGCGAUACUUUUUUUCUGCUUAUUUUGAUCACGUUCGGCGCUCGAUCGCGCUGUAUGAGACAGGAAAACAUAGCAUGCAGACAUUAGCGACAGGUCUUACAGGCGGAAAAGGCUUGCCAAAAGAAAAAAAAAACACACCACAACAUCUCUCCUAUUGGUGGAAAACUUCACCACAACAACCAAUCCAAAAUUAUAUGGUGACUGAUUGACAAAGGGCGGGCGCUUACGUUCUUCCUGCAACAUGAGAAGGGAGGGAGGGACUCUCAGCAGGGAUGCAGUCUGGGACACGUAGUUGCAAACCUAGCGACUUUGUUGUUAGAUUCAAUGACUUUUCAGACCCCCUAACGACUUUUUUUUAGAAAGAAAGGGACUUUUAUCGACUUCUUCUGGAGUUUAGAGACUCUGACAUGAAGCAGGCUUUCCUUACUGAGGAGUUAGCAACGCUGCUAAGGGUGCAGAGCCACACAUGCACUCAGAGCUCUGCAUGGGAGACUGAAGCUGACAGAGCUGCAGCAGUUAGCAGGUUUCACCCUCAGAGACCACCAGGGGUUCAUGUUGAGGCAUUUUAAUUUUUUUUUUUUUUUUGUGCCAUAGACACUGUCAGCACAAUCUGCAGUUACACUAACAAAAAUGCUGCAAAAAAUAAAGAAUUAUGGAAAAAUUACACAUGGACUGACAUAGAGGAGGAUCUACACAAGUUUUUUACAUCAUGUUUUACAUCAUGCAUCAUUUACAUCAUGUUUUUUUGUAGUGGCAUAAAUAAAAAGUGACAUUUGUGAGACUAUACAGUGUUUUGUAAAUAAUUUUACAAAGAACGCCUGGGCCAUUGCCUGCAUUUUGAUGUAAAUAGAGGUAAAUUACUAUGU